AACACUUCUGGGUCCUUGACGGUAUAACGUUGACCGGUGCUCAGUAGUUUUGGGAUUGGUCAAGUAUGGUACAAACAAUUUCAAUUACAAAAAUCAGAAAAUAAAUCAGAAAAUUCAUAAAAAAAUGCAAUGUUUAAUUCUUGUUAUUUUUCUUUACUUAUCUAAUUAGUUUUUUUUUUUUUUUUUAAUUUGUGAUUGCAGGGUUGCAUUUGGAACUGAUUCGGCCUAAUCUCAACUAAGGGUGUGCAAUCAACAUUCAUUCACCCCAGCACAUUCAUCAUCCAUUCCUCUAUAUUCAUGAGAUUAGGCAGUUCGGAAACAGAAACCAAAUUGAGAUUCAGGAAUGCUUAUAGUGGGGUUUGCUUGGAGGCUUCUACACUACUUGGAUCCACUCACUCACUCUCUUCCAUUGAACUUAGUUUACAUAUCAUUCAUCAAAUUCUAAGUAAAUGGUUCUACAAUCAUGGAUCCAAGUGUGCAAAAGGGUCCACAUAUCGUAGAUCAAGUUUCAUGCACAUUUUUGCUCACGGAUUCCUCAUGGCAAACAUGCAAAGCACAGACAGAAACCAAGUACAUAAGCAUAGUGGGGAAAUCAAGAGAUAUAUGGAUGCAUUCAUGUAAUAACACAAAGAAUAAGACAUUAUGAAUUUAUAGAGCUCUACAUGCAUGAUGAACAAGCCAAUUUAACAUACUGAGGUGCUGAGACCAUAUAUAAAUUUUUAUUCACAAAUUCUUAACAACAUAGUUGCAAGGAUAUAGAAGCAUACCUUUUCAAUGCGGAUCUGUGAGUCUCGGUUUUUCCAUUGUCUGUAUUUCUUUCGCAUUUAGAAUCCGUGCUAGGUGUUGCAUCUCCUUCUCUCUAUUAUCAACCUAGUUUCCAAUCAAACUCCACAACACAGUAAACACACAUGCAAUGGGCAAUUUUCAUUCAUUUUCCCUAAUCCAAGCAUUUGAGACAAAAUUGAAGGGAGAUGGGGAUAAUAACUACCUGUAAGUGUGUCAGACUAGAGUAGGAUGCAAUCUGCGGGUUCAUCUGACCAGGUUAUUGGUCUUGCUGCUCAAGGGUGCUGGAUUUCUGAGACAUGGAGGCAGCAAGAAGAUGGAGGAGGACAUCGCAGUGGAGUGGUGGCUGAGCUUGUAUGCUUUUGGUUUGGUUGGGUUCUGAAAUCUGGAGGCUAGAGCCAAGGGUUUGAGAGCCCACCACGUUUAAAUUUAGUUCAUUAUUUAAUAAACUAAUAAUUAAAAAAAAACUAGUUAAUUGAAUAAUGAUUGGGGUAUACGAUGAGUUUUUCUGUUUCUUUUUCUUGGGUUUUGCAAAUUUUUCAAAUGAUGUGGUUGUCCACAUCAGAUACCACCUAAGAUGCUAUAGAAAUGUGGUAUAAAAACAUGAUAUGAAUAGCAUUACUCUUGGAUUUUUAAAUUUAGUUCAUUAUUUAAUAAACUAAUAAUUAAGAAAAACUAAUUAAUUAAAUGAUGAUUGUGGUAUACGAGGAGUAUUUCUCCUUCAUUUCCUUGGGUUUUGCAAUUUUUUCAAAUGAUGUGGUUGUCCACAUCAGAUGCCACCUAAGGUGGUAUAAAAACAUGGUAUGAAUAACAUUAGUCUUGUAGCUGUGGUUCGAAAUAAGAAAUGUGAGCUGAUCACUCAGCUCAAAUAGGCGAAUGCUAGGGUACUUGUCUGCACGUGUGGCUUCGUGUGUGCGUGCAAAGAGACCCCUCUUCUUUGCUUCCAGGUCUCGAGUUUGACUCCAGGUCAACUUGUUCUUUUUCUUGCUUUUCUAUUUUAUUUUAUUUUCUGCUGUUUCUUUGCCUAUUUUAUGUUUUAGUUCAUUUUAGUGUUUCUUUUGUUUGUCUAGAUUAACUUAUUUUUGUAUCUUAGGAAUUUCUAGUCGUAAGUAUCAUUUUUUAUUUUAUUUUUAUUUAUUUCCACACCUUGAGGACAAUGUGUGAUUUAAGUUUGGGGGUGGGAAAUAAAAAAUUUUAGGUUUUUACUUUUUGGGUCAAUAAUUUUUUUUUUUUAAUUUUAAGUUAAUAUCCAUAGAUUAUUUUAAACAUUAGAACAAAUGGAUGGUGAAGAUUAAUCUUAUAGUAGAGUCUUUUCUAUUUAUCGUUGCGUAGACACUAAUUCAUUAGUUAUACUUUGAAAAUUUGCACAUUCACAUCAACAUGGUUUGUGGGGAGUGAGAUUGAAACACUUAUUUUUAGUCUAAAUGUAUUUUAAUUUUGUUCUAAGUAAAGU
rnacentral:lncRNA from 1 species